rnacentral:rRNA from 1 species
GAGUUUGAUCCUGGCUCAGAUUGAACGCUGGCGGCAGGCCUAACACAUGCAAGUCGGACGGUAGCACAGGAGAGCUUGCUCUCCGGGUGACGAGUGGCGGACGGGUGAGUAAUGUCUGGGAAACUGCCCGGUGGAGGGGGAUAACUACUGGAAACGGUAGCUAAUACCGCAUAACGUCUUCGGACCAAAGUGGGGGAUCUUCGGACCUCACGCCACCGGAUGUGCCCAGAUGGGAUUAGCUAGUAGGUGGGGUAAUGGCUCACCUAGGCGACGAUCCCUAGCUGGUCUGAGAGGAUGACCAGCCACACUGGAACUGAGACACGGUCCAGACUCCUACGGGACGCAGCAGA